CGCAUCUUGCGCUCGCUGGUAUUCCGGCGAGCAUGCCUGUUUGAGUGUCAUGAACUCUUCAACCCUUCAAUUCCUUGUUGAAUUGUAAGGUGUUUGGAUUUUGAGCGUUUGCUGGCCUUGGAACCUUUAUGGCUCCAAAGGCGAAGCUCGUUCGUAAUACAUUAGCAUCUCAAUUUCGAGUAUUCGGAUUGACUCGGCGUAAUAGACUUUAUUCGCUGAGGACACCGCAAGGUGGCCGAAUCUUGAGGUAGAAGCUUCCAACUCCCUCUGAAGUCAACUUCUAAGAUUAGACCUCAGAUCAGGCAGGACUACCCGCUGAACUUAA
rnacentral:misc_RNA from 1 species